rnacentral:pre_miRNA from 1 species
GGCACAAACUUGAAGUGGAAUAGUUGGGUAUGGUCAGCUGAUUCUACCGUUCUACUCUGCUUCAAGUUAGUGCAC